rnacentral:rRNA from 1 species
GAUGAACGCUGGCGGCGUGCCUAAUACAUGCAAGUCGAGCGAACAGACGAGGAGCUUGCUCCUCUGACGUUAGCGGCGGACGGGUGAGUAACACGUGGAUAACCUACCUAUAAGACUGGGAUAACUUCGGGAAACCGGAGCUAAUACCGGAUAACAUGUUGAACCGCAUGGUUCAACAGUGAAAGACGGUUUUGCUGUCACUUAUAGAUGGAUCCGCGUCGCAUUAGCUAGUUGGUAAGGUAACGGCUUACCAAGGCAACGAUGCGUAGCCGACCUGAGAGGGUGAUCGGCCACACUGGAACUGAGACACGGUCCAGACUCCUACGGGAGGCAGCAGUAGGGAAUCUUCCGCAAUGGGCGAAAGCCUGACGGAGCAACGCCGCGUGAGUGAAGAAGGUCUUCGGAUCGUAAAAAUCUGUUAUUAGGGAAGAACAAAUGUGUAAGUAACUAUGCACGUCUUGACGGUACCUAAUCAGAAAGCCACGGCUAACUACGUG